rnacentral:rRNA from 1 species
UACGAAGGGGGCUAGCGUUGCUCGGAAUCACUGGGCGUAAAGCGCACGUAGGCGGGUUGCUAAGUCAGGGGUGAAAUCCUGGAGCUCAACUCCAGAACUGCCUUUGAUACUGGAGAGCUAGAGUCCGGAAGAGGUGAGUGGAACUGCGAGUGUAGAGGUGAAAUUCGUAGAUAUUCGCAAGAACACCAGUGGCGAAGGCGGCUCACUGGUCCGGUACUGACGCUGAGGUGCGAAAGCGUGGGGAGCAAACAGG